GGUGAUAAACCGGAGGAAGGUGGGGAUGACGUCAAGUCAUCAUGGCCCUUACGAGUAGGGCUACACACGUGCUACAAUGGCGUAUACAAAGAGAAGCGAACUCGCGAGAGCAAGCGGACCUCAUAAAGUACGUCGUAGUCCGGAUCGGAGUCUGCAACUCGACUCCGUGAAGUCGGAAUCGCUAGUAAUCGUAGAUCAGAAUGCUACGGUGAAUACGUUCCCGGGCCUUGUACACACCGCCCGUCACACCAUGGGAGUGGGUUGCAAAAGAAGUAGGUAGCUUAACCUUCGGGAGGGCGCUUACCACUUUGUGAUUCAUGACUGGGGUGAAGUCGUAACAAGGUAACCGUAGGGGAACCUGCGGUUGGAUCACCUCCUUA
rnacentral:rRNA from 1 species